rnacentral:rRNA from 1 species
GACGAACGCUGGCGGCGUGCUUAACACAUGCAAGUCGAACGGAAAGGCCCUGCUUUUGUGGGGUGCUCGAGUGGCGAACGGGUGAGUAACACGUGAGUAACCUGCCCUUGACUUUGGGAUAACUUCAGGAAACUGGGGCUAAUACCGGAUAGGAGCUCCUGCUGCAUGGUGGGGGUUGGAAAGUUUCGGCGGUUGGGGAUGGACUCGCGGCUUAUCAGCUUGUUGGUGGGGUAGUGGCUUACCAAGGCUUUGACGGGUAGCCGGCCUGAGAGGGUGACCGGCGACAAUGGGACUGAGAUACGGCCCAGACUGCUACGGGAGGCAGCAGUGGGGAAUAUUGCACAAUGGGCGGAAGCCUGAUGCAGCAACGCCGCGUGCGGGAUGACGGCCUUCGGGUUGUAAACCGCUUUCGCCUGUGACGAAGCGUGAGUGACGGUAAUGGGUAAAGAAGCACCGGCUAACUACGUG